AUAACUCAGAACAGGCUGCCAGCUGUGUUUCCUCAGCUGCAGUGCAAGUGGGGCAUGCUCCGUUGAGACUUUAUUCACUCUGGGCAGUUUGUUGAAGAUUAGGUGGUCAGCUCACAAUGAAUCAUAAGCUGCUUUUGUCCCUUGCUGUCUAUGCUUAGAAGCUAAAAGGUUAAGCAGCGAUGUCAGCGCUAUCAGGGAGCUGUGGAGACUGGAAUUGAAGUUCAGAACCUUUCAUGGGAGACAGCUCAGGUAAACAUCCAAGCAAAGUGAUAAAGGAAGAAAACAAUACGAAACUCACUACCCACUGUGGGCUGCUUUCAAGCUUUAACUUCAGAUCCUCCUGCUAGUUUUUACUUUUCAGAGUGUUUAAGUGCUUGUUUUUGUUUGUUUGUUUGUUUGUUUUUUGUAGUUUGUUCAGUUUUAGUGGUGAACAGUGCAUUAGAUAGAUUCUAGUUGGCUUAUUUCAUCUUAGCAAUCAUCGAAAACUUAGAUAUUUUAUCUUUAAAAUUACAAACCAAUAUGGACUACUACAAACAUCUAUUAGAGCGUCGCUGCCUUUAAAUAUGAUUCCCUAGGUUGGGUGUGAUACUUCUGUAUUUUAGAAAGUUCCCCUGCCCCAAUAAAUCUAAAAUGUAAGGUUAAAAACCCUCAUUUCUUCUUUAUUUGCCUAGUUCAGCCAAUUUGACUCUCAGUUGGAUUUUGAGAAUCUCAGUGAUGUUUCAGUUUGGAGGUCAGUUCAGAAUAGCUUUUUAUUCUAAUUUUAAUACCUCUAUUAUCCUGAUAAAAGUGUUGUUGAUGAAAUAAUUUUGAAUAUCUCAAUAAAAAUCUCAAGUGCCUAC
rnacentral:lncRNA from 10 species